UCCCACCCGUGUUUACUGUACCUUAGUUGCUUCGGCGGGCCCGCCAUUCAUGGCCGCCGGGGGCUCUCAGCCCCGGGCCCGCGCCCGCCGGAGACACCACGAACUCUGUCUGAUCUAGUGAAGUCUGAGUUGAUUGUAUCGCAAUCAGUUAAAACUUUCAACAAUGGAUCUCUUGGUUCCGGCAUCGAUGAAGAACGCAGCGAAAUGCGAUAACUAGUGUGAAUUGCAGAAUUCCGUGAAUCAUCGAGUCUUUGAACGCACAUUGCGCCCCCUGGUAUUCCGGGGGGCAUGCCUGUCCGAGCGUCAUUGCUGCCCAUCAAGCACGGCUUGUGUGUUGGGUCGUCGUCCCCUCUCCGGGGGGGACGGGCCCCAAAGGCAGCGGCGGCACCGCGUCCGAUCCUCGAGCGUAUGGGGCUUUGUCACCCGCUCUGUAGGCCCGGCCGGCGCUUGCCGAACGCAAAUCAAUCUUUUUCCAGGUUGACCUCGGAUCAGGUAGGGAUACCCGCUGAACUUAAGCAUAUCAAUA
rnacentral:rRNA from 1 species